GACGAACGCUGGCGGCGUGCCUAAUACAUGCAAGUAGAACGCUGAAGGAGGAGCUUGCUCUUCUGGAUGAGUUGCGAACGGGUGAGUAACGCGUAGGUAACCUGCCUGGUAGCGGGGGAUAACUAUUGGAAACGAUAGCUAAUACCGCAUAAGAGUAGAUGUUGCAUGACAUUUACUUAAAAGGUGCAAUUGCAUCACUACCAGAUGGACCUGCGUUGUAUUAGCUAGUUGGUGGGGUAACGGCUUACCAAGGCGACGAUACAUAGCCGACCUGAGAGGGGGAUCGGCCAGACUGGGAGUGAGACACGGCACAGACGCCUACGGGAGGGAGCAAGAGGGAAACGUGGGCAAUGGACGGAAAUCUGACCGAGCAACGCCGCGUGAGUGAAGAAGGAUGUCGGGUCGUAAAGCUCUGUUGUAAGGGAAGAAAGAGCGUGAGAGUGGAAAGUUCACACUGUGACGGUAACUUACCAGAAAGGGCCGGCUAACUACGUG
rnacentral:rRNA from 1 species